GAGACUCUUCAUGUGAGUUAAUCUAAGCAUGUGCACAUAUACUUGAAAAAUUGGCCCCCAUUUUCCUGUAAAUGAACUGCAUUGGAGUUUGUUUUUUUUCCCUUACUUACUACUACAUAGCUGAGAUGAACCAAUAUGCCAACUGACAAGGUAUUCCAUAGACGAAACAUGGAGGAAGUCUUGCACCUGAAGAUUCUCCCAACAGUAUGUUAUGAACAAUGCAUUAUGUGCCAACAAAUAAAAAAGGACACCGUUUUUGCUUCUAAUGAACAGAAACUGGCUACAACACAAGACAGAAACUCAGGGAUUUCCAAAAUAUGGAUGCAAUUGAUAGAAGAAUUCUAAUAGCUCUUCAAUCUGAAUGUAGGCAACCAUUACUUUGACAUAAAAUCUGUUAUGCAAUGUACACAGAUAAUGGUAAAAUUAGCAGAAUUCAUAAAUUGAUCUGAAGGAACUUUAAUCAACUGGUAAGGGGGAACUCCAAACCCAGUCUUGUGCUACAAUCACCAAAAUCUUGACAGUGUUUUGGAGCAAGAUCCCAUAACGAACUGGAGUCUUUUCAUUUUCUGCCAGGAUUGAAGUUUCAAACAAGUACUUUCUUCAGGAACAACACUCACAAUGAACAAAUACUUGAGACAACAGAAUAUUGUUGAGCUUAGUGUACGUGUAGCUGAUGUUAGUGACCCUAUAGCCUCAGAAGGGAAAUACCACACUAAUCAUUAUAAAUAUUUCUUGAGAAAAGGAACAAAAAUUAAGCAUGAACCACUCAUAGUAGUACUGACAUGACAUGAUCUGGCUUUGUAAUGAGUUAAACAUUGUGCAGAAGAAGUCAGUGUUUUGGAACUUUCAUAGUAAUGGAGUCAUUGUUUUCUCACAAAUGAAUGUGAAACAUCUCCCCCAGUUGCAUUUGAGAAUGUUGUGGCAACGUUCAAUAAAAAUUUAUUCCACAUCUUGA